rnacentral:rRNA from 1 species
GGACGAACGCUGGCGGCGUGCUUAACACAUGCAAGUCGAACGCUGAAGCCUAGCUUGCUGGGUGGAUGAGUGGCGAACGGGUGAGUAACACGUGAGUAACCUGCCCCCUUCUUUGGGAUAACGCCCGGAAACGGGUGCUAAUACUGGAUAUUCACUGAUCUUCGCAUGGGGGUUGGUGGAAAGGUUUUUUCUGGUGGGGGAUGGGCUCGCGGCCUAUCAGCUUGUUGGUGGGGUGAUGGCCUACCAAGGCUUUGACGGGUAGCCGGCCUGAGAGGGUGACCGGUCACAUUGGGACUGAGAUACGGCCCAGACUCCUACGGGAGGCAGCAGUGGGGAAUAUUGCACAAUGGGCGAAAGCCUGAUGCAGCGACGCCGCGUGAGGGAUGGAGGCCUUCGGGUUGUAAACCUCUUUCGCUCAUGGUCAAGCCGCAACAAUGGUUGUGGUGAGGGUAGUGGGUAAAGAAGCGCCGGCUAACUACGU